rnacentral:rRNA from 1 species
ACGGGUGAGUAAUGCCUAGGAAUCUGCCUGGUAGUGGGGGACAACGUUUCGAAAGGAACGCUAAUACCGCAUACGUCCUACGGGAGAAAGCAGGGGACCUUCGGGCCUUGCGCUAUCAGAUGAGCCUAGGUCGGAUUAGCUAGUUGGUGAGGUAAUGGCUCACCAAGGCGACGAUCCGUAACUGGUCUGAGAGGAUGAUCAGUCACACUGGAACUGAGACACGGUCCAGACUCCUACGGGAGGCAGCAGUGGGGAAUAUUGGACAAUGGGCGAAAGCCUGAUCCAGCCAUGCCGCGUGUGUGAAGAAGGUCUUCGGAUUGUAAAGCACUUUAAGUUGGGAGGAAGGGCAGUAACUUAAUACGUUGCUGUUUUGACGUUACCGACAGAAUAAGCACCGGCUAACUCUGUGCCAGCAGCCGCGGUAAUACAGAGGGUGCAAGCGUUAAUCGGAAUUACUGGGCGUAAAGCGCGCGUAGGUGGUUCGUUAAGUUGGAUGUGAAAUCCCCGGGCUCAACCUGGGAACUGCAUUCAAAACUGUCGAGCUAGAGUAUGGUAGAGGGUGGUGGAAUUUCCUGUGUAGCGGU